GACGUAGGGCGCGAGCGUUGUCCGGAUUUACUGGGCGUAAAGCGCACGUAGGCGGACUAUUAAGUCAGGGGUGAAAUCCCGGGGCUCAACCCCGGAACUGCCUUUGAUACUGGUAGUCUUGAGUUCGAGAGAGGUGAGUGGAAUUCCGAGUGUAGAGGUGAAAUUCGUAGAUAUUCGGAGGAACACCAGUGGCGAAGGCGGCUCACUGGCUCGAUACUGACGCUGAGGUGCGAAAGCGUGGGGAGCAAACAGG
rnacentral:rRNA from 1 species